AGCUUUGAGCUCGUCUAUUCAUCUCAUUUCUUGGUGGUUUAGUAAAGUAAAAGCAUUUUGAAAUUGUUAUAAACAAUUGGACUGCCCCACUAAUUCAUUUUCUUAAUUUCCCUGCCAAGCCGCCUCCUUCGGCCAGCUCACCCUCACUUUCCUUUUAUUCUUCAUUCUGGAAAUGACCUGAACAAAGCUCAAAAAAUAAACUUCUCUUGUGAGCUGGGGUUUGCAGAGACAACAGAAUGCACGCCAAGACGGAUUCUGAAGCGACGAGCCUCGCCGCUUCGUCUCCGACCAGAUCUCCACGGCGGCCGGUGUACUACGUGCAGAGCCCUUCCAGGGAUUCCCACGAUGGAGAGAAGACGGCGACGUCGUUUCACUCCACCCCUGUGCUCAGCCCCACGGGGUCUCCCCCUCACUCCCACGCCUCCCUGGGUCACCACUCUCGCGAAUCUUCCUCUAGCAGGUUCUCUGGAUCUCGCAAAAUAUCUCCCAACGAUGCGUCUCGUGCUCCCCAUGGCAAGUCUCAGAAGCCAUGGAAGCAACCCGAUGUCAUUGAGGAGGAGGGUCUUCUUCCCAAUGAAAACCGCCACAAGCCUCUCCCUCGUCGCUGCUAUGUCCUCGCUUUUGUUCUUGGCUUCAUUCUUCUCUUCACUGUUUUCUCUUUGAUUCUCUGGGGCGCCAGCAAGCCUAUGAAGCCCAAAAUUACCAUGAAGAGCAUAAAAAUUGAUCAUCUCACGGUUCAGGCCGGUUCGGAUUCCACAGGAGUGGCCACCGAUAUGAUAUCCCUGAAUUCCACCGUGAAAUUCACGUAUCGCAACACGGGCACAUUUUUUGGGGUCCAUGUUUCCGCAACACCUCUGGAUCUACUCUAUUCGGAAAUCAUAAUUGGUUCCGGAGAAUUGAAGAAAUUUCAUCAAUCAAGAAAGAGUCAAAGAACAGUGAGUGUGGCGGUGAUGGGUAACAAGAUUGCUCUGUACGGGAGUGGUGCGGGCCUGAGUAGCUCAACCGGAGCGCCUACGGUUCCGGUACAGUUGAAGUUAAGGUUUGAGCUUCGAUCCAGAGCUUACGUCCUUGGCAAGUUGGUGAAGCCGAAAUUUAACAAGAGGAUCGACUGCUCUGUAACUCUGAAUCCUAAACAUAUCAACGCCACAAUUUCUCUGAAGAAAUCUUGCACGUACAAUUGAUUCGGAAUUCCCCGGCGAGGAGAAAGCCGAGGGGAAAAGGAAAAUCUGAUACUCGUAUUCAUUUGAUCUUUUAGAUGAGGAAAGAAAUGGGGGAUCCAGCUGUAAAGGGCUCUUGGGCAGGACACGAAGAAAAAAGAACGCGUUUCUGAUUGCAUAGUGGAAAAAGAUGAUGAUAGGCUGUCUUCCAUUGGGUAUAGAUUGCUUUAUAUCCUCCUUGUGUUGGACUUGCAUUUGUUGAUGGAGUAAUUAUUGGCCAAUAGAAAUGGAGGCGCCUUGUCUAAUCAUCUGGAUGCCCGGUGCCUUAUACAUAUAUAAGAUAAUAAUACAAUAAAUUUAUCUUUGAUCCUA